rnacentral:rRNA from 1 species
UCUAAUACCGGAUACCACUCCUGCCCGCAUGGGCGGGGGUUGAAAGCUCCGGCGGUGAAGGAUGAGCCCGCGGCCUAUCAGCUUGUUGGUGGGGUAAUGGCCCACCAAGGCGACGACGGG